UACGGGGGGGGCAAGCGUUGUUCGGAAUUACUGGGCGUAAAGGGUGCGUAGGUGGGCAGGUAAGUCAGUGGUGAAAUCUCCGGGCUUAACCCGGAAACUGCCAUUGAUACUAUUUGUCUUGAAUACCGUGGAGGUCAGCGGAAUAUGUCAUGUAGCGGUGAAAUGCUUAGAUAUGACAUAGAACACCAAUUGCGAAGGCAGCUGGCUACACGAAUAUUGACACUGAUGCACGAAAGCGUGGGGAUCAAACAGG
rnacentral:rRNA from 1 species